rnacentral:lncRNA from 1 species
UCAGUCCCAACAUUGCCAAAGACUGAAACGACUUCUGCAAGACCAUACCUUGAUCCAGAGUAUUCGUGAUAUAUGAAACAAACUUAAGUAUUGUUAAUUGGGUGUAUACAUCUUCUUGCCCUUAUUACACACUCCAAUAUUCUCAGCAUGCUCAUAAUUAAGCGUUUAACUACUUCCUGAGGAAUUUCAUCACAAAUUUCAACUAAUGUUACUUUUAGCUCAGCUAGAUAGUUAUUUCUUUAUUUUAUCCAAUGUCUAAGCUUGUCCCAAAAGUAAUCAAUGGGAUUCAAAUCAGGGAUACGGAGCUGGUUUCUGGUAAACACUGGACUUGCUGCUGGUUUUCUGGGUGUAGACUCAUUUCUGCAAGCUUCCUUCUUACUGUUUCAGCACUAAUGGACGCAUCCUGCACAGUUCUAAUUCUUUGAGACAUUUCAGAAGCAGUAGAAAAGCAAUGUCUCGGAGUGUGCAAUUUGAUAAAUCGGUCAUCAGCUAGUCCCUUGACUUUUGGGCGUCCUGAUUCUGGUCUCUGAGUUCACCUUGCAAUGAAUGAGCACUGAUACUCGACAACCAUUGUUUUAGACUUAUAGGACUACUUAUCGCCUGGAAAACAAACAAUUUAACCCAGUAUAAUCAAGAAUCAAAUAAUGAAAAAGGACAUCUUACAACAGAUGCAAAAUAAUCGUGAGAUGCGGUAUGGUGUGAUGUGGAUUUAGGAAAAUAUUGUCAACGUUUGGAUCAUUAUUGAGAUCACUUCAGGGCCUGGGAUUUAUAAGCAUUGUUUAAAUUACAC